CUUCCAGUAGCACCUUAGAGACCAACUAAGUUUGUUAUUGGUAUGAGCUUUCGUGUGGUAUCUGAAGAAGUGUGCAUGCAAACAAAAGCUCAUACCAAUAACAAACUUGGUUGGUCUCUAAGGUGCUACUGGAAG
rnacentral:miRNA from 1 species